rnacentral:rRNA from 1 species
CCUACGGGUCGCAGCAGUGGGGAAUAUUGGACAAUGGGCGAAAGCCUGAUCCAGCCAUGCCGCGUGUGUGAAGAAGGCCUUCGGGUUGUAAAGCACUUUCAGUGGGGAAGAAAGCCUUGGGGCUAAUACCCUCGAGGAAGGACAUCACCCACAGAAGAAGCACCGGCUAACUCCGUGCCAGCAGCCGCGGUAAUACGGAGGGUGCGAGCGUUAAUCGGAAUUACUGGGCGUAAAGCGCGCGUAGGCGGUCUGAUAAGCCGGUUGUGAAAGCCCCGGGCUCAACCUGGGAACGGCAUCCGGAACUGUCAGGCUAGAGUGCAGGAGAGGAAGGUAGAAUUCCCGGUGUAGCGGUGAAAUGCGUAGAGAUCGGGAGGAAUACCAGUGGCGAAGGCGGCCUUCUGGACUGACACUGACGCUGAGGUGCGAAAGCGUGGGUAGCAAACAGGAUUAGAUACCCGGUAGUC